CAGGCCUAACACAUGCAAGUCGAACGGACUUCUUCGGAAGUCAGUGGCGGACGGGUGAGUAACGCGUAAGAAUCUAGCUUCAGGACGGGGACAACAGUUGGAAACGACUGCUAAGACCCGAUGUGCCGAAAGGUGAAAGUAUAUUUAGCCUGAAGAAGAGCUUGCGUCUGAUUAGCUAGUUGGUGGGGUAAGAGCGUACCAAGGCGACGAUCAGUAGCUGGUCUGAGAGGAUGAGCAGCCACACUGGGACUGAGACACGGACCAGACUCCUACGGGAGGCAGCAGUGGGGAAUUUUCCGCAAUGGGCGAAAGCCUGACGGAGCAACGCCGCGGGAGGGAGGAAGGCUCUUGGGUUGUAAACCUCUUUUGAUAGGGAAGAAGAACUGACGGUACCUAACGAAUCAGCGUCGGCUAACUCCGUGCCAGCAGCCGCGGUAAUACGGAGGAUGCAAGCGUUAUCCGGGAAUUAUUGGGCGUAAAG
rnacentral:rRNA from 1 species